rnacentral:tRNA from 1 species
AAGACACUAGUAUAACGGAAAAUACACUGCUUUGUCAGGGCAGAGUCGUGGGUUAAACCCCCGCGUGUCUUA